rnacentral:tRNA from 1 species
GGGCAUGUAGCUCAGUUGGUAGAGCGGCCGUCUUAUACGCGGCAUGUCGGGGGUUCGAAUCCCUCCGUGCCCACCA